CGACUCUCAAUCGGGCAACAUUG
rnacentral:miRNA from 10 species